rnacentral:rRNA from 1 species
AUUGAACGCUGGCGGCAGGCCUAACACAUGCAAGUCGAGCGGUAACACAGGGAGCUUGCUCCUGGGUGACGAGCGGCGGACGGGUGAGUAAUGUCUGGGAAACUGCCUGAUGGAGGGGGAUAACUACUGGAAACGGUAGCUAAUACCGCAUAACGUCGCAAGACCAAAGAGGGGGACCUUCGGGUCUCUUGCCAUCAGAUGUGCCCAGAUGGGAUUAGCUAGUAGGUGGGGUAACGGCUUACCUAGGCGACGAUCCCUAGCUGGUCUGAGAGGAUGACCAGCCACACUGGAACUGAGACACGGUCCAGACUCCUACGGGAGGCAGCAGUGGGGAAUAUUGCACAAUGGGCGCAAGCCUGAUGCAGCCAUGCCGCGUGUAUGAAGAAGGCCUUCGGGUUGUAAAGUACUUUCAGCGGGGAGGAAGGCGCUGAGGUUAAUAACCUCAGCGAUUGACGUUACCCGCAGAAGAAGCACCGGCUAACUCCGUGCCAGCAGCCGCGGUAA